rnacentral:tRNA from 1 species
GCGUCUGUAGCCUAGUUGGUAAAGGCAGCACUCUAGUAUGUGUCUCAGCAUAGCUGAGGUCGUGAGUUCGACUCUCACCAGACGCA